rnacentral:rRNA from 1 species
GAUGAACGCUAGCGGGAGGCCUAACACAUGCAAGCCGAGCGGUAUUGUUUCUUCGGAAAUGAGAGAGCGGCGUACGGGUGCGGAACACGUGUGCAACCUGCCUUUAUCUGGGGGAUAGCCUUUCGAAAGGAAGAUUAAUACUCCAUAAUAUAUUGAUUGGCAUCAAUUAAUAUUGAAAGCUCCGGCGGAUAGAGAUGGGCACGCGCAAGAUUAGCUAGUUGGUGAGGUAACGGCUCACCAAGGCGAUGAUCUUUAGGGGGCCUGAGAGGGUGAUCCCCCACACUGGUACUGAGACACGGACCAGACUCCUACGGGAGGCAGCAGUGAGGAAUAUUGGUCAAUGGGUGCAAGCCUGAACCAGCCAUCCCGCGUGAAGGACGACUGCCCUAUGGGUUGUAAACUUCUUUUGUAUAGGGAUAAGCCUACCCUCGUGAGGGUAGCUGAAGGUACUAUACGAAUAAGCACCGGCUAACUCCGUGCCAGCAGCCGCCGUAACAC